GACGUAGGGCGCGAGCGUUGUCCGGAUUUACUGGGCGUAAAGAGCGCGCAGGCGGUCGUUCAAGUCGAGUGUGAAAGCCCCCGGCUCAACUGGGGAGGGUCAUUCGAUACUGAUCGACUCGAAGGCAGGAGAGGGAAGCGGAAUUCCCGGUGUAGUGGUGAAAUGCGUAGAUAUCGGGAGGAACACCAGUGGCGAAGGCGGGUUUCCUGGCCUGU
rnacentral:rRNA from 1 species